CUUAUUUUCUGUUUGAAGCGCCGAAAGGCCACUGAAGGUUUUAGGCGGAAGGCUAGUAAUCAAAGAAGCGACUCGGUCUCUCUGCGCUCAAAGCACGCCGAAAACUGGCUUCUGUGAGGAAUCGAAGGUUGGUGGGACUGCUGUGAGGAAUCGAAGCCGCUCGCUGCAGACUACAGUCUCCCGUGCUCCCCACUCUCAUCAAAAAUUACUGCAUCACCGACACCACUGAUUCUCCGAUCGGCUUCUUCUCAUGUCGGAUAGUAGGUUGCUCUUCCGCCUUUCCAUUUCUUUUCCUGUAAGGUGCUCUUCUCCUCUCUGCAGUGUUCUUCUCCUCUACGGUGAAAUAUAUUGUUUGUCCAAAUUUAAAAAAUGUCUGACAAAAUAGUUAUAUUUUGGUGUGUAAAUUUGUUGGAUUCUAUUUUUAGUUUUGCUAGCUUUAUUUGGAAUUAAUCUGAAGAGAUGUUUCCUUAUAGAUAUAUAAGC